rnacentral:rRNA from 1 species
ACAUGAAGUGGCGAACGGGUGAGUAACACGUGACCAACCUGCCCCUUGCUCCGGGACAACCUUGGGAAACCGAGGCUAAUACCGGAUACUCCUCGCCCCCCUCCCUGGGGGGCCCCGGGGAAAGCCCANACGGCAAGGGAUGGGGUCGCGGCCCAUUAGGUAGUAGGCGGGGUAACGGCCCACCUAGCCCGCGAUGGGUAGCCGGGUUGAGAGACCGACCGGCCACAUUGGGACUGAGAUACGGCCCAGACUCCUACGGGAGGCAGCAUG